UUCCUUCAGUAAGUAAAUUCCAGCUAAUUAAAGGUUUCCCUUUUUUCUCAUGGCAAGCAUGUGAAAAGUGUGGUUUAACCUCUCCACACCUACAACCAAGUGCCUUGUCUUCCUGUGCCUUCUGUGACACAUCCUGUUCCAGAACACAGAAACUUACUUGGGCAGGCACUGAAAGAGAAUCAGUAUGCAACCAUAAAGUCCCUCUGAUGACGCCACAAAUCUGGGAAUGAAGAACUUCUUCGACCUGAUUGGAAAUGGCAUUGCGGAGCUGAAACUUAACUGGAGGAAACAUAGCUCCCGAAGAAGGAAAUAUAAUGCACUUUAAAGAUCUGACUUCUGGUGAAAAAUUCAAGCCUAGAGAAAACUUGUCCGCUUUGUUCAGAAGAAUGGGUUGGACAAUUUUCUUCAGUUCCACAGGAUAUCUGAGUGCCAUGCUGAGCUUGAUCUCUGCAGCAUGCUCUGUGCUUCUCAUCUCUUCCUGAUGCACUGCAUGAUUAUCCUGAAGGGGAGGAUAAAGAAACUGGCCACCAAGAUGGUAAUCACUAGUGGAAAUGAAGAAGAUAAAGGCAGUCAAGAAAAGGAAAGCAAAGAAGAAACCAUCUUGGCAAUGCUUGGAAUUAUUGGGACAAUUCUGAACCUCAUUGUGAUCAUUUUUGUGUACAUUUACACAACGUUGUAAACUAGCAGGCAUGCAAAUAGAACAGAUAAAACGGCCAUUAAGAGUGACAACAAACAUUGCUGACUAUUGACAAGUUGUUUAAUCAGAAUUGACUCUGUAUUAUAUUAACACAUCAUAAAAGCACUGCCUGCAGGCAGCGAAGGCUGAAGCACAAUUAAUUUAACAAGACUUCUUCACGCAGUAACAAGCUAAACUCUUCUGUCCUGCCCUCUUCCUUUCGCUUUGGUUUUCGGUUUGGGGGAAACAUGACUGCAAUUAUGUAAGUUGUAGCUUUGAAGAAAUCCACCCGGGUUAUGUUAUUUUAACACAAUUUAAAAAGAGGGGAAAAAAAAGAAAAAAAAAAAAAAGAAACUGUACACUAUAUACAAUUAAAAAUGUAUACUGUAUACCUGCAAAGAUGGAGCUCUAUGAUAGCUACAUAGCACAGAUCACGUGUCCGUUAGGUCAAAUGAUAUUUUUUCUCUUGGUUUAUGCUUUUACUUACAUCGAAUCUGACAGGCUUUUUGUUUAGAAUGAACAUAUGGUGCAAUCAUGAAAAAAAAAAAAAACCAACAAAAAAACCAAUUCUAUUGAGCAAGAUCUGCCUAAAACUGAUGCGAUGUUGGGAGAAAUGUGGUAUGUGGUUAUUUUAACUUUCUCAUUUGCUUAACAUCUGUGUCUGUUCAUACCAAUGUUUAUAAAUAUAUAUUUUUAAUAAAUGUGCUAUAUUUUUAGCA
rnacentral:lncRNA from 1 species